rnacentral:tmRNA from 1 species
GGGGGUGACUGGCUUCGACAGAGAAAUCGGCGUGUGUUUGCGCGUUGCGGAAUUGAAUGAAUUCCUAAAAACAUUCAAAAACCCAAGUGCGAACAAAUUUCAAGCACUGACGAGCGCGGUCCCGCGCUCGUUUAAGACAUAGGACUAGGAUUCAUAUGAUUCUGUUCAUCUUAUACAUAUGCAUCCGAAAUCAGAAUUUAUUUUCUGACAAGAUGACCUACGCUUCGUAGACACAUUCACACAUCUUUCUUUGGACUCGGGUCCGAUACCCGACACCUCCACAA